rnacentral:rRNA from 1 species
UCCUACGGGAGGCAGCAGUAAGGAAUAUUGGACAAUGGACGAAAGUCUGAUCCAGCCAUGCCGCGUGCAGGAUGAAAGCCCUAUGGGUUGUAAACUGCUUUUAUACAGGAAGAGAAACUCCGACGUGUCGGAACUUGACGGUACUGUAAGAAUAAGGAUCGGCUAACUCCGUGCCAGCAGCCGCGGUAAU